rnacentral:tRNA from 1 species
GCGCCUGUAGCUCAACUGGAUAGAGUGCUUCCCUCCGAAGGAAGAGGUUGCUGGUUCGACCCCAGUCAGGCGCA